rnacentral:tRNA from 1 species
GGGGGAAUAGCUCAGUGGUAGAGCGCUGGAUUCCAGUCCCAGCGGACGAUCCCCUCUUCCCUCA